CUCCCAUCUCUGUGCAGGAGGCGAAGCAGGCACAGACACGAGGUACCAACACAGAGCCACCCUCAGGGGCCCGGGCAGACUCAUUGGUCCCGAAGGAGGAAGGAGCUGGGCUGCCCGGCACCCUGCCGACCACCACCGCCCCCAGGAUGCCCUCUCUCCGUCUGGUGGCCCUGA